GAUGAAGAACGUAGUGAAAUGCGAUAAGUAGUGUGAAUUGCAGAAUUCAGUGAAUCAUCGAAUCUUUGAACGCACAUUGCGCCCUUUGGUAUUCCUUAGGGCAUGCCUGUUCGAGCGUCAUUUAAACCUUCAAGCUAAGCUUGGUGCUGGGUGACUGUCCGCUUCACGGCGGACUCGCCUCAAAAUUAUUGGCGGCCGGUACAUUGGCUUCGAGCGCAGCAGAAACGCGAACUCGGGCCCGUCGUAUUGGCUCCCAGAAGCUAUCUUCACAAUUUUGACCUCGGAUCAGGUAGGGAUACCCGCUGAACUUAAGCAUAUCAAUAAGCGGAGGA
rnacentral:misc_RNA from 1 species